CUUUGUGUGUGGUGUAUGAGACUCGUGCAGUCAGCAAGCUCCUUUCACCCUGGCUCUGAAGCAACCCUACAGGAGCCCUGGAUGUGACUGUUCGUGGGAUUGCUGUAUACUGACUUCCCCACUCAGCGUGGAGAUGGGAGCCAUGAGGCAGGAAUCUACUUGUACAAGAAAAUUCUGAAAUACCAACUUGAAGAUAGGUGCUUGGCCUGCAGAAAGGAUGCACUAUCCCCACAGAUAAGAUAAAAGAGGAGGAGAAGCUGGAAGCAUCUCCCUUGUCACAGCAAAGGAAUAUUUCUGGCUUAGAACAAAAAGGGGAGAACCUCUUUUCUAAAUGGUAAGA